rnacentral:rRNA from 1 species
GAUGAACGCUGGCGGCGUGCCUAAUACAUGCAAGUCGAGCGAACAGAUGAGGAGCUUGCUCCUCUGACUUUAGCGGCGGACGGGUGAGUAACACGUGGAUAACCUACCUAUAAGACUGGGAUAACUUCGGGAAACCGGAGCUAAUACCGGAUAAUAUAUUGAACCGCAUGGUUCAAUAGUGAAAGACGGUUUUGCUGUCACUUAUAGAUGGAUCCGCGCCGCAUUAGCUAGUUGGUAAGGUAACGGCUUACCAAGGCACCGAUGCGUAGCCGACCUGAGAGGGUGAUCGGCCACACUGGAACUGAGACACGGUCCAGACUCCUACGGGAGGCAGCAGUAGGGAAUCUUCCGCAAUGGGCGAAAGCUUGACGGAGCAACGCCGCGUGAGUGAUGAAGGUCUUCGGAUCGUAAAACUCUGUUAGUAGGGAAGAACAAAUGUGUAAGUAACUAUGCACGUCUUGACGGUACCUAAUCAGAAAGCCACGGCUAACUACGUG